rnacentral:rRNA from 1 species
AUGAACGCUGGCGGCGUGCCUAAUACAUGCAAGUCGAGCGAACGGACGAGAAGCUUGCUUCUCUGAUGUUAGCGGCGGACGGGUGAGUAACACGUGGAUAACCUACCUAUAAGACUGGGAUAACUUCGGGAAACCGGAGCUAAUACCGGAUAAUAUUUUGAACCGCAUGGUUCAAAAGUGAAAGACGGUCUUGCUGUCACUUAUAGAUGGAUCCGCGCUGCAUUAGCUAGUUGGUAAGGUAACGGCUUACCAAGGCAACGAUGCAUAGCCGACCUGAGAGGGUGAUCGGCCACACUGGAACUGAGAAACGGCCCAGACUCCUACGGGAGGAAGCAGUAGGGAAUCUUCCGCAAUGGGCGAAAGCCUGACGGAGCAACGCCGCGUGAGUGAUGAAGGUCUUCGGAUCGUAAAACUCUGUUAUUAGGGAAGAACAUAUGUGUAAGUAACUGUGCACAUCUUGACGGUACCUAAUCAGAAAGCCACGGCUAACUACGUG